UGGGGAAUUUUGGACAAUGGGCGAAAGCCUGAUCCAGCAAUGCCGCGUGUGUGAAGAAGGCCUUCGGGUUGUAAAGCACUUUUGUCCGGAAAGAAAUCCUUGGCUCUAAUACAGUCGGGGGAUGACGGUACCGGAAGAAUAAGCACCGGGCUAACUACGUGCCAGCAGCCGCGGUAAUACGUAGGGUGCAAGCGUUAAUCGGAAUUACUGGGCGUAAAGCGUGCGCAGGCGGUUUGCUAAGACCGAUGUGAAAUCCCCGGGCUCAACCUGGGAACUGCAUUGGGUGACUGGCAGGCUAGAGUAUGGCAGAGGGGGGUAGAAUUCCACGUGUAGCAGUGAAAUGCGUAGAGAUGUGGAGGAAUACCGAUGGCGAAGGCAGCCCCCAUGGGCCAAUACUGACGCUCAUGCACGAAAGCGUGGGG
rnacentral:rRNA from 1 species